AGUAGACAUCGCGCAGGCGAUGGGUGAGGCGGCUUUGGCCGCCAUGUUUUCGUCGCAGUAACUGCCUUGGUGUCAGUAGUCAUUGCCAGUUUCGGGCGUUCUGGACAAUUGGGAUGCUGCAGAGUUCAUGGCUGGGGCUGCUCGUUGGGUGGGACAAGAAUCCUCUGCAAUGGUUUGUUUUGGCUGCCCAGGAGGUGCGUCAAGUCGCUGCCGCUCCCCUCGUGGGCGUCAGGCCUCAAGAGUUCCCCGCCUAGAAAAUGGAGCUCAGCGAGUCGUGCGUACCAUGGUGCACCUGGUUUUGCAGCCUAAGCGGGUCACUUUAGUGCAUCCUCCUCGCGGAUUGGAGCCUGUUUGCACCCCUAUAGCCCGAAUGAGACCCAAGUCACACGGGCUCAGAAGUUCUUUGCCCCUGGCCAUGAUCCCCCAGCCAGCCACCCGAGUUUCCAGGCCUCAGGCGCUUUGGAAACGCCUGUACGUCGCCUGUACCUGAAUGGCAGGUACUCAUCUGCUUUAGCUACAUCAUAGUCUGCACCACUUCUGCCAGCUCGAUUGCAGCCUGGAUUUGAGUCAGAAACUUUUCAUGGUGGAUGAGGGUUGUAAAUAUCCAAAGCGACUCCAGAUGAAAUUGCCCUCAUCAAAGGAAGCUCAGAUGACAGAUUUCUGCAUAGAAGCCAAAAAAGCCUUCCCUCAAGGAAAGAGUCAGUUUCAAGUAUUUGCAAACUCAGAACAGUGUCAAUUUUAGAUCACUACAAUGCUGCCCAUCAAGGAAGAACCCUAUUGCUCCCUGGCGUCUCUCCUUGAGCCCUAAACACAGUAGAUUCAGAAACUAAGUCAGCAAAUGGAGGAAGAUUCUUAACCGUGAUAAGUUGGAAAACGUGCGUCAGAGGGCCACAUCCCUUCCUCGAGUUCAGGCUACCACCUGACUGCAGGUCAGAGCUGGAAGAGACAGUGAAAAUCACAGAGACCAAGAUAACUAUGAGAGGAAUUUAACUUAUAGUUCAACUUGCAGACAAGGGAAACUGACCCUCCUUCUUGUCCAGAGAUUGAAGCCACAUUCAUAAGGGCCCAGCAUGUCUCUGCAGGAAGGCAGGGCAUCCCACGAUAUCACCAGCUCCUCUAGGAGUAUAGGAGCCAAGGAGCUGCUGAGACCUGCUGAUCACCCACUCACUCCCCUCCAGCCACCCCAGAGCCAUGGCUCCCGAGGCCACAUCUUGGCUGUCUUGGCGUCUCUCUGCAUCCUCAGCCUUCUCUGAUCAUGUGGAGCCCCCAGUGGCCCCCAUGGGUGCUUAUCUGAUGCUGUGCCAGCCACAGGCAAGAUGUGGGGACACGUUCUGUGACCCUCUGCAGCACUGCUACUAUGACAAUGCCAUCCUGCCCUCGGAUGGGACCCAGAGGGGUGGAACUGCACCUUCAGAGUCUGCUUCGAGAAGUGCUGCCCCUGGUCCCUCAGUCCCCCAGCGUCCCUCAUGGUGAAGAUGAAAGGCCAGAAGUGCUCCUUGACCCUGACCUCAGAUAACAGGCUUUGUCACAGACAUCGCUGGCCUUCCAGGCUGGGUGAGGCAACCACUGUGGGCUCCCAAGCCUUUACGCGUCCCCAACCCAGCCCUGACUCUCUGAGUCAUCAAGGCCUGAGGACAAUCUGUGUUCCCAGUGAUGGCACAUGGCCCGCUAUUAUGUCUCUGCUGUGUCCUCUGCAGCACGUCGGGGUAAGGAUGAUUAGGUUUUAAUGGGAUAGUAACGGGCGUGUGAUUGGUUGCCAGGGAGGGAGUAAAAGUGUCCCAUACUUGUGGGUUAAGGUUGGGGGAUACAAGAGGAAGACGUGAAGGAGGCUUUAGGUUGGGGAGAAGGGCGGCACUGAGAUGUGGCUGUAGUCCAGGAAUAGUCAGGGUAGUGGAUAAUUUUGUUAAGAUGUAAAGGAUCAUUAACCUUGACUCUGCCUUCAGCUCCAGCCACCUCUCUAAGAGGAAAUUGUUGGGCAGGUUGGGGAGGGCUAGUCACGGAACAAAACUGUAAGCUGGACCGGUUGUGAGUGGGGGAGGCGAUAGAAGGAUUAUAGGGUGGGAGAGUGGAAGCUGAGGAAGAACUGGGACCUCGCUUGGCCUGGUGAGGAGCAGUGUGGGGAGGAGGGGAGAGGUCGGAUGAGUUCACAGAAAAAGAAGAUUUAAAGGACUCAGAGCUUGGGGUGGAGACUGAAGGAACAGACAGGAGAGAAAGAAGAAAGAUCUGGAAUGAGUCACAUUGGGAGCAGAGACUAGGGAGGAACUGAUGUGUAAAAGGAUGCCUGGACAUCAGGCACCUCAGACCAUUUGCCCAUUUUUUGACAAAAUUAUCUAGAUCUUGUAGGAUGGGGAAAUCGAAAGUGCCAUUUUCUGGCCAUUUAGAACAAUUGUUAAGUUUGUAUUGGGGUCAAAUGCUGUUGCAGAAGAAAAUAAGAUGCUUAGGUUUUGGGUCAGGUGAGAGUUGAAGAGGUUUUAAGUUUUUUAGAACACAGGCUAAGGGAGAAGAAGGAGGAAUGGAGGGUGGAAGGUUGCCCAUAGUAAAAAGGUAAGUUUAGAGAAAAGAGAGGGUAGAGACAUGGAGAGGGGGGUUGGUACUUGCCAUCCAGGGGAGGUGGUACUUGCCACCAAGGUGAAGGAUCAAGGCAGGCGUCCCUGCAGUGGUCAGACACCUCUGGAAUGUGGGUGAAUAAUCAGACAUGCAUCCCCACAGUGAUUAGACACCAAGGGAAGACUGUCUUCCCGAGUCUGUGACCAGCAGCAGAAUUUUGAGUUCAUGGACAAAACGUGUCUCCUCUGUCUCUACCAGAAACGGAAAGGAACCAAAAUUAAGGGAGGGAGAGAUUAAAGAGUGGAGGGAUAUCUAGCAAGAGAGGUUGGAGAAGAGAAUGAAAAGAGGCUACUUACCCGAUUUAAAAUUGGUGAGAAGUUCCUUCGGCUGGGCUGAGGACCCGAGGUCAUGGGUGGAUCUCAUGGAGAGAGGGCGAGGACAGGGGACCGGUCUCCCAAAGGAGUCCUCCUGUCUCAGGUCUUCGGCACCAAAUGUCACAUGAGUCCAUAUGAAGAGAGUCCACCAACAGGCUUUGUGUGAGCAACAAGACUGUUUAUUUUACUUGGGUGCAACUGGGCUGAAUCUGAAAAGAGAGUCAGCAAAGGGAGAUAGGGGUACAGCAGUUUUAUAGGAUUUGGGUAGGUAGUGGAAAAUUACAGUUAAAGGUGGUUAUCUCUUGUGGGCAGGGAUGGGGAUCACAAGGUGCAGGGUGGGGAGAUCAUGAGACUCAUUGUCUAGGGGAGGAAUGUCACAAGGUUGAUGGAUUAGUUGGGGUGGGGCAGGAGCAAAUCACAAUGAUGGAAUGUCAUCUUUUGUGGUUCUUCAGUUGCUCCAGGCCCUCUAGAUGUAUACGUGCAGGUCACAGGGGUUAUGAUGGCUUAGCUUGGGCUCAGAGGCCUGACACCAGAGAGUUGGCCAACACCCCGGUACAGUUGGCCAGCUGCACUAGAGCUGCUUUGUUCUCCUGAUUUGAAUUUCAGUGGUUUCUUACAGUUUUUGCUGCUGCUGUAGAGCAUUUAAGCAGGAAGGGAUCCAGUUCAGCCAUCCAGGGACUGGCACCCAAGUUCUUGUUGCAGGUAGCAGGGACCAGCUUGCAAGCUUGAAGUGUGCAGAUGGAACACAGAGCACUCCAGCCACCCAGGCAGAUAUCAGAGGAUGGGCCCUCAGGCACUGAUUCCUGUCUGUCACCUGGGAGAGGCUCCCUGAGGCCAGGUGGAAAUCAUACCCGGAUGCCACCAGAAUGAUGAUUCAGCCCUUUCCGUGCUUGUUCCAGAGGGGAAGCCCAUGAAAGGAGGACAGCCAGUGCUCUCCUGUGUGCCACGUUCCAGAAGCUCAGUCUCACUCUGUCGCGCAGGCUGGAGUGCAGUGGCACGAUCUCGGCUCACUGCAACCUCUGCCUCCCGGAUUCAAGCGCUUCUCCUGCCUCAGCCUCCCAAGUAGCUGGGAUUACAGUGAUUCUGGGAACUGUGGGCAAGAAGAGAGGCGGGAAAGCCAGAGCCAUCCAAUGCUUGUCUUCUGGUGCCCUCCUCCAGGAAGCCAUUCCUGGUGCCCUGGGCGCUGCUCCCAGCCUUGCUCACCCUGGGUCAUCACCGUUUUUGGAGGGGUCUGUGUCCUCCCCAGACUAUAAGACCCAGAAAAGCAGGGCCUGGAGCUAAGUCACAGUCGUGUCCCCAGCAUCCACUGACACAGAAAAAGCCACAAAGAAACAUGGUAAGAGCGUGGCAGAUAACAUCCACGGUGCUAUCGGGAGGUGACAGGUGACUGACCUCAGCCUUGGUGUUCAAGAAGAUUCCAGAAGCACGUCCUAAUCUGUGUCCUGGAAAACAACACUCUACCCCACAGCAACAAGGCAUGGAGGCCAAUGGAGAAGACAGGGAGAUGGUGCUGGAAGCAGGGUCUGCUCUUCCCCUGGGGAAGGUGCGUGCUGAGCACUCUGGUAUUUAUCAUGAGAUCAUUUCUGCUGCAGCCUCUUCCCUUGUCGCCUGCCUCCAGAGAGAAGCCCCUGUCCAUGCUCCCCAGAAAGAUACAGGAUCUUCCACACACACAGAUCUGACCACAUACAUCCCCUGCUGGGAAUAACCCUGGGGAGAAUGGCUUGUCCAUACCAGGUGUGGCCUGUGAACUCACAAACUGAGGAAAUCCUGCAGAAGCUGGGAGGGGCCCACAGAACUGACCCAAGACAGCUUCUUCCCCUCUGUUUUUUCGUCCUGACCCCAAGAUGGCUCUUCUGUGGGGAAAUCACACACCCGACCCUCUGAAAAAGCACGUUAAGGAAAAAUGUCCUUGAAAAUCUCAGGAGGGCUGUGGAAUUUCUCCACCACCAGAACUUCACAGUGACAAUGACACCAAACACAAGAACGACAAUAACCAAAAUCAGGAGUUUUAUUCUCCUACCUUCUCUCUCUCUCUCUCUCUCUCUCCUCUCACUGUCAUGAACGUCACGAAGACACUGACUUUGCAUUUUCUACUCAGCACUGCAUCACCAGUGUCUGACACAAAGCCUGGGACAUGUGGGCUUCCAAGUGGACCUCUCCUGGAUAAAUGACCAUUAAUGAAACAGAGAAGGAGUUGAAGAGCCCCCAGAGGAGUGUGAGUCCCAGGGGUCCCGCCAGCUCCACUCCCACCUUCCAAACCUGUGAAAGUCAGGUGCCUGAGUCGCACAGUCUCUCCCACCCGAAUGCCAUGAGCUGCAGCGACCCAGCCUGUCUCUGCAGGAGGGCCAGACAUGCCGUGACAUCACCAGCUCCUCUAGGAAUAUGGGAUACAAGGAGUGGCUGAGAUCGGCUGAUCACCAGCUCACUCCGCUGCAGCCGCCCCAGAGCAAUGGCUCCCCGAAGCCGUGUUCUGGCUGUCUUGGCCGCUUUCUGUUUGUGACUCUCCCUGCCUCCACUCCCCCCACCACCCCAUGAAAUGAUCUCAUUUGGUCAUUUAAACGGAAAACUAAAAAGUUUUAAGUGACUCUAGGAGAGCAGGAGAGAGGCAGGUCUCCCAGCUCAGACCCCGCCCCGGGACGGCCCCACGGAAGAUGCACAUCUGGAUGUAGGCGCUCAAGGCACCGCGCGUGCGCCGAGUGGCCUUGCUCAGCUCCGUCCUUCUGAAACCCGGAAUCCUCAUGUGUCUGGGUCCCGCCCCAUCCUGGCCUCCUACACCACUGGUCCAGAUCCUCCACCUUCCCCCAACGCGAGGUAUUGACAUCAAAGCAUCACCUCAUCUGGCACAAGAAUCUGAAACACAGACCGCACCUUACACCAACGUAGUGAAUCCCUCCUUGGACCUGAGUUCAACAAGCCCAGAGUCGGGGCUCUGGGUUCCCGCCCAAAUGCCACGCAUGCACACAGAUGGCACCUGGCGUCUCCUCAAAGGGACAGGAAUCCCGGGCUUCCCAGAAUCACCAGGUCGAUUUAAAUGGCAUCAGAUGAACUGGAAAAGAAUGAAAGUGCUAUUGCCUAAAGUGAUGAAAUUUUCAGAGGAUGUAUCGGUCCUGUCUGGUGGACAGACGGCCACCAGAGGGAAUGAACCAGUCUUCUCUGAACAUCCAUGAGGAUGAAGAACAGUCACUGAGGUGACGGUACCAAGUCACCGGCCACCUCCCAGGGAUCCUCUCAUCCGGUCCUCACAGCAGCGCUGCAUGGUCGGACCUCAUCACCCACAUUCCACCAAGAGGAAGCUGAAGCCCAGGGCCUUCAUCCACUCAUGUCCUCCAGACCCCUGGCACCCAUCCUGGGCCCCACCCCAUCAUCCAGGCCUUGGGCCUUCGACCUGGGGAGAGUCCCUGUCUCCUCCAUGAGCCGUCCAGGGCCUGAAGAGGUAUCCAAUAAACAAGAAAGCAGAACACAAAGAGCUGUGAUGGAGUGGAUCUUAUGUAGUAAGAAUAAAAUUAUUUUGAGAAA